rnacentral:rRNA from 1 species
GACGAACGCUGGCGGCGUGCUUAACACAUGCAAGUCGAACGGAAAGGCCCUGCUUUUGUGGGGUGCUCGAGUGGCGAACGGGUGAGUAACAUGUGAGUAACCUGCCCUUGACUUUGGGAUAACUUCAGGAAACUGGGGCUAAUACCGGAUAGGAGCUCCUGCUGCAUGGUGGGGGUUGGAAAGUUUCGGCGGUUGGGGAUGGACUCGCGGCUUAUCAGCUUGUUGGUGGGGUAGUGGCUUACCAAGGCUUUGAUGGAUAGCCGACGUGAGAGGGUGACCGGCCGCAGGGGGGGUGAGACGCCGACAAGGGUUCUGAGUGAGGCCGCAGCCUGGUAUGGUCAGGAGUGGGGGGAAGUGUGGCAGAGUGGCGGGAUGCGUGACGGGGACGCCCCCGGGUCGGAAAACCGGCUUGGGGGUGGAAAACAUCUUUGGCCGGGAAGGAACCAUGAUUGAGGGUAAUGGAUAAAGAAGCCACGGCUAACUACGUG